AACGAACGCUGGCGGCAGGCUUAACACAUGCAAGUCGAACGCCCCGCAAGGGGAGUGGCAGACGGGUGAGUAACGCGUGGGAAUCUACCCAUCUCUGCGGAAUAGCUCUGGGAAACUGGAAUUAAUACCGCAUACGCCCUACGGGGGAAAGAUUUAUCGGGGAUGGAUGAGCCCGCGUUGGAUUAGCUAGUUGGAGGGGUAAAGGCCUACCAAGGCGACGAUCCAUAGCUGGUCUGAGAGGAUGAUCAGCCACAUUGGGACUGAGACACGGCCCAAACUCCUACGGAAGGCAGCAGUGGGGAAUAUCGGACAAUGGGCGCAAGCCUGAUCCAGCCAUGCCGCGUUAGUGAUGAAGGCCUUAGGGUUGUAAAGCUCUUUCACCGAUGAAGAUAAUGACGGUAGUCGGAGAAGAAGCCCCGGCUAACUUCGUGCCAGCCGCCGCGGUAA
rnacentral:rRNA from 1 species